rnacentral:rRNA from 1 species
UUUUCCGUGCUGGCUCAUGUACAAGUCCCUUGGAACAGGGCGUCAUAGAGGGUGAGAAUCCCGUCCUUGACAUGAACUACCAGUGCUCUGUGAUACAUUUUCAACGAGUCGAGUUGUUUGGGAAUGCAGCUCAAAAUGGGUGGUAAAUUCCAUCUAAAGCUAAAUAUUGGCGAGAGACCGAUAGCGAACAAGUACCGUGAGGGAAAGAUGAAAAGCACUUUGGAAAGAGAGUUAAACAGUAUGUGAAAUUGUUAAAAGGGAAACGAUUGAAGUCAGUCGUGCUCUUUGGAUUCAGCCGGUUCUGCCGGUGUACUUCCUUUGAGUGGGGUCAACAUCAGUUUUGAUCGCUGGAUAAAGGCUGGAGGAACGUAGCACCCCCGGGUGAACUUAUAGCCUCCUGUCACAUACAGUGGUUGGGACUGAGGAACGCAGCACGCCUUUAUGGCCAGGAUCCGUCCAUGUACGUGCUUAGGAUGUUGACAUAAUGGCUUUAAACGACCCGUCUUGA